AGUGUACUUUAGAAUGUCUGCAGGUAGGCCAAUAACCGGCGGGCAAGAAUGGUUUUAAUUGGAGAGUGGGGCGGAGACCUCGAAACUGUUUUCAUGUGCUGUGGUAUGUUGGAAAGCUUGAGUUGCAUGUACUGGACAGACUGGGGAGAUAUUUGAAAGGCUGGAAUGGAUGGCUCACACCAAUGAUUCACUGGGCUGGCCAAAUGCUCUGACCAUCUCAUAUGAAGCAAAUGAACUAUUUUGGGCAGAUGCAAGGGAAGAUUAUAUCGCAGUCUCAGAUUUAUAAGGCAUGAACAGGAAGCAGAGGUCGACAGUCUGGCCACUGUGGUACUGAUCAAUUCAAGUGUGCUGACAAGAACUGCGUUAGCAGCAAAUUCCGCUGUGAUGGAUCUAAUGACUCUGGAGAUGGUUCUGAUGAAGAAGACUGCAUUCUACCACCAUGUUAUUUUGGAACCUGUUCACAGAGCUGUGUAGAAAAGAAGGGAGGGAGGAAACUUUUCUUGCCACUGCGCUCCAGGCUUCAUAGGGGAAGGAACAUCGAGGAACAGGACUUGUUUUGCGAGAGGCUUAUGUUCCGGUGUGAACGGUCGUAUUGAUUCAGCGUAUAUGGACGGAACUGGGCGUCAUUCACUUGUGGAUACAAUGGAACAGUGGCCAACUGGACCUGCAGUAGACUACCCAGCUAGAAGACUAUAUUGGACUGAUCCCUAAGCAUGUACUAUAGAAAGUGUAGAUCUCGGUGGACGAGAUCGUCACGUCAUCAGAAGAUUCCCACAUAAAUGGUUCUGGGGCCACCCAGUCUCAUCUACGGUGGAUAUUGGUAUCUCUCUCCCCAAGAUGUAAAGCAACUACAGUGUGAAGCUACGAUCCUCCAGCCGGUGCUAUACGUCUACAAUGCAUGGGGCUAAUCCUAGAGCCUAAAGUACGCUCUCAUGGAAUGAAUUGUAGUCACAGACACAACUUAUCCUUUAUUUCCUACAUUUAGCAUUUUACAUAUCUUUCUAAUUACCAAAGAGUUGAAUUUUUUAAAAUACAAGUUGCAGUCAUUAAUUAAAUUACUUUCUCUCGAAACUUUUUAUUAUGUGUCUUUUAUAUACAGGCAUGCCUCGUUUUAUUGCGCUUCGCAGAUAUUGCGUUUUUUUACAAAUUGGAUGUUUGUGGCAACCCUGCGUCGAGCAAGUCUAUCGGCACCAUUUUUCCAACAGCAUGUGCUCACUUCGUGUCUCUGUGUCACAUUUAUUAAAAUAAAUAUAAAUUAGUAUUGGAUGUUUGGCAUUGUAGCAGCAUUUCACGCGAUUUUAAUUGUGACCCGGAGAGAGUUCAUAGUGCCAACAAGGUUUGU